UGACAGAUGAGACCUCCAGAUGUUCC
rnacentral:piRNA from 1 species